UUUGGAUCGGUUUUGAUGCCAAGGAUCAAAAGGGAAUCCGGUGCGAAUCCGGGACAGUACCCGCUGCUGUGAGUUCCGCCUGACAUUUUGAGUGUCAGGGGCGGCUGUCCUUAAAAACAGCCAGAAGAUUGACGCGACUUUCUUAUGCCACUGGCAGGACGCUGGAUAUUCAGUUGCCCACAACCGGGAAGGCGCCGCGUCAGGAACAAGUCAGAAGACCUGCCUUCAUAG
rnacentral:ncRNA from 1 species